rnacentral:lncRNA from 1 species
CCAUUGCAAGAAACUUCCCCACAAAAACAUAGUAGUGAAGCAUCAAAAAAAGAGAAUAAAUUACAAAUGCACAAUUCAUGCAUGAGAAAAUAAUACCUUUUCUUCGAAAAAUUUGUGAUCUGGUUAGAAAAUCCGAGAAUUGGAGGUGUUGAACAUCGAGGGAGAUGGGGCUGUACCCACUCUGCCAAAUGGUUGUGUUCUGACGCCUGAUCGUCGAUCCAGCCGUCGCGAAAUUACAACCAUGCCUGAAAUUCGCUCCAAUCGAAUCCAGAAACGCACUCAGAUAAGGCAAUCCCACACUUUCAGCUGCAAUGUAAUCAAUCCACACUAACUAAAUAUCACUCUAGAGAGAGAGAGGUUUAGAGAGAGAGAGAGAGAGAGACANCUACACUACUACUCUCUCUCUCUCUCUCUCUCUCUCUCUCUCUCUCUCUCUCUCUCUCACACACACACACACACACAGAGAAAAUACCCUUGUUUUACUAUCAAUAAAGAAACAAUGUUGUGUCUUGUAAAUAAGUCUUAGUAAUACAAACUACCACUUUAUUCAGCACACUCCUCUCUCUCUCUCUCUACUUCAAAAUGAAACUGCUCCCAUUGCAAGAAACUUCCCCACAAAAACAUAGUAGUGAAGCAUCAAAAAAAGAGAAUAAAUUACAAAUGCACAAUUCAUGCAUGAGAAAAUAAUACCUUUUCUUCGAAAAAUUUGUGAUCUGGUUAGAAAAUCCGAGAAUUGGAGGUGUUGAACAUCGAGGGAGAUGGGGCUGUACCCACUCUGCCAAAUGGUUGUGUUCUGACGCCUGAUCGUCGAUCCAGCCGUCGCGAAAUUACAACCAUGCCUGAAAUUCGCUCCAAUCGAAUCCAGAAACGCACUCAGAUAAGGCAA